rnacentral:rRNA from 1 species
GACGAACGCUGGCGGCGUGCUUAACGCAUGCAAGUCGAGCGAUGAAAGCCUUAUGAACUAUUCGUAGUGAUUGGGGCCGGAUUAGCGGCGGACGGGUGAGUAACGCGUGAGCAACCUGCCUUAAACAACGGGAUAGCCUCGGGAAACCGGGAUUAAUACCGUAUGAGACCCCGCCUUCACAUGAAGAAGAGGUUAAAGAUUUAUCGGUUUAAGAUGGGCUCGCGUCUGAUUAGCUAGUUGGUGAGAUAAAAGCCCACCAAGGCAACGAUCAGUAACCGGAUUGGGAGAGUGAACGGUCACAUUGGAACUGAGACACGGUCCAAACUCCUACGGGAGGCAGCAGUGGGGAAUAUUGCACAAUGGGGGAAACCCUGAUGCAGCGACGCCGCGUGAGCGAUGAAGGAAUUCGUUUCGUAAAGCUCUGUCCAAGGGGAAGAUAAUGACAGUACCCUUGGAGGAAGCCCCGGCUAAAUACGUGCCAGCCGCCGCAGUAA